GCGCUUGCUUUGGCAGCACAUAUGCUAAAACCAGAACGAUCCAGAGAAGAUUAGCAUGGCCCUGCACAAGGAUGACAUGCAAAUUUGUGAAACACUCCAGACCCCC